UACGUAGGGUGCGAGCGUUAAUCGGAAUUACUGGGCGUAAAGCGUGCGCAGGCGGUUUUGUAAGCCGGAUGUGAAAUCCCCGGGCUUAACCUGGGAAUGGCAUUCGGGACUGCAAGGCUGGAGUGCGGCAGAGGAGACUGGAAUUCCUGGUGUAGCAGUGAAAUGCGUAGAUAUCAAGAGGAACACCAGUGGCGAAGGCGAGUCCCUGGACGAUACCUGACACUGAGGCACGAAAGCUAGGGGAGCAAACAGG
rnacentral:rRNA from 1 species